UAAGCUUUAACCCCUUUCCUGACUUGACAUUGUAACGCAGAAAAUAAUGGGAAAUGAGCGACAUCACGUCCAUUUUGAUGUAGAAAAAGGAUGAAGUGAGCAAAAUGAUAUAAUAAAAUAUGAUACAAAAUGAGAAUGUCUAUGAAGGAAUGUUGUGAACUGACUGACGUUAAUGUCGUUCAGCGACUACAGGGAAAGUCAAUGGCACACGUAGCUCCUGAGGUGAAGUAAAUGCAACUUCUAAGAACUUGGAUCUGAGUAAUUUACAGCUGGGACCUUUAGCCAAGAAUAAAUAAUGACUGUACACAUCAGGAAGCAAGGCAUGUUAUCACUCAGAGCAAUCUGAACCCCCCCUUUAUUUAAAAUGGAUCGGUUGUAACCGACACGUGACUCUAUACAUAAAAUACUGCCUUCUGGGAGUUGUAGUCCGCACGCCUUCAGCCAAGACCCUACAGAAUGGCGAAAAGAACUAAAUUACCCAGAAUUCCCGAGUAGGGAUCGCAGCCCGCCAUUUCUGUUGUCUAUCUCACAGACGCUGCGCCUGCUCGCCACGCCCCUUUUGUGAUGUCAUCGGCACGGUGGCACGGGUCUAUAAAAGGAACCCGGAAGUCGGGCGGCCACGAGUCGGGGAAAUCCUAACCCGCACAUCACUACAACAAAUGCUCCUAGUGAGACGAUGGAUGGAGAGAGACAAAGUGUAAAGAAAAGUAAAAAAACAUCCAAGGAAAAAUCAGCUGAUAUGGAUCACCAGGAAUCGCGAGCCCAGGUAGCAAAGAGUUCAGGCUCGGAGAAUGAACAUCGAUACUGGGAAAACCGGAAAGCUCGUGUCCGAAAGAAGGGGUUUGUCUGCAAGGAAUGCUGGAAAGUUUUUUCUCAUGGGUCUCACUUCGUGCAACAUCAAAAAUCACAUACGGGACAAUCGGCGCACGAAUGCUAUGAGUGCGGCAAGCGCUUCAACAAGAAGUUUAACUUGGACCGCCACAUGAUGACUCACAGUAGGCAGGUCAAGGCUACAGCGAGGGCAAGGCCAGUAAACAAGAAGAAAAGGCAAUUACCUUGAGUUUUUUUUAUAUAUAGAUAUAUGUUUCGUUAUGGCCACAUAAAACAGCUUGCAUUGAAUUUAAAGGAAGUUAUGUAAAUAUCAUUUAGGAAAGGGCCUGGGAAACCUGCCAGAAAAGCUAGAGCUGGUAUGUAUAAAGAUCAGAAUUUGCUUUGGGGAAAUGUUUUUUUCUUCAACACCAGGUUUGUCAUUUACGCCACAGGCUUAAAUAGUUUCUGUCUAUACAUCACCUAUAUCCAAGCUGUAUGUUAUCUGGGUCUGUGGUAAAUAAAGGCAUUUUAUGCACAACCAA